AGCAAGGGGUAUAGCUUCAAGUUCGAGAAAACAGCAAAGCUUCAAGGUCGGCUGGGGACAUAGCUUCAAGAAAGGGCGAGCCACCAAAUUCAAAUUAGACUAUAUUGCUAAUUUUUGUCUUGCAUUGCAAUCACUGGCCAUUAGAAUUUCAUCAACAGCUCUUUUCUUUUCAACUUCUGAUUCCAUACAAAAUUCACUUUCCCCAUUUAAUUCACUAAAAUUGCUGUAUGUUAGCUAUGAGAAAUCCAGACCCCAGUGUAAGUAUCUUACCUCCUGAAUUGAUUUGUGACCCA
rnacentral:lncRNA from 1 species